UGCAUCACACAGAAUUCCUGACCAGCCUCAAGAUUUGUACUCUGCUGAAGUUUGGAGACUACCAGGCACCUUCUGUUUAUUAGUCAGGCUUACAUGGAGAUCUAUAUUAUCGGACAGUCUUCAUAUCAUCACUAAAUGUGAGGUAACAGCUUACUGAUCUGUGUGAUGUAGCCAUUAUGUAAAAGGUCUUUAAACCACAUGUUGUGAUCCCAGACUAAGCUGAUGGAAGCUGAUGGAAGCUGAUGGAGCUGAUGGAAGCUGAUGGAAAUGUUUCUGCAGAAACAAGAGCUGUUCAGCGUAACACGGCAUAACAUUAGAAUCAUGAAAAGGACAGCUAACACACUUUAGACCCUGGCUGUUGCUGCAGCCAUCAUGCAGAAAAAUCACCCGAGCUGAUGGAGAACCUCCAGUGGCAUACAACUGGCAGAGAAGAUUUGGGUGACUUCCAAGGUCUCCCCAUGCACUGACAGUGUCCAGCUGCCCUUGCUGCUAUUGGCAUCUGCUGCAUGUUAGUUAAGGCUGCCUGCCUGCAGACCGCUCUCUGUACCCAAGGGUACAAGGUAGGCGCUUAAACAACCAUUGAUCAAGGGAGUGCAUGAGUAGUUCGAUUCCUCC
rnacentral:lncRNA from 1 species